rnacentral:rRNA from 1 species
UACCUACGGGGGGCAGCAGUGGGGGACAUUGCACAAUGGGGGAAACCCUGAUGCAGCAACGCCGCGUGAAGGAAGACGGCCUUCGGGUUGUAAACUUCUUUUCUCAGGGACGAAGCAAGUGACGGUACCUGAGGAAUAAGCCACGGCUAACUACGUGCCAGCAGCCGCGGUAAUACGUAGGUGGCAAGCGUUAUCCGGAUUUACUGGGUGUAAAGGGCGUGUAGGCGGGAAAGCAAGUCAGCUGUGAAAACCACGGGCUCAACCUGUGGCCUGCAUUUGAAACUGUUUUUCUUGAGUACUGGAGG